CUCCACAUGACAGAGCGGUAGCUGUUUGAAAGGUCUGGAGGGUUGUGAUACUGUUGUGAAUGAAAGAGAGAACAUGGUUGCUGUUGAAUGAGUUUCGAAGUCUUAAGGUAUGUUUUAUUUUUUUCCGGCAAUUUUAUAUGAAGGAUAAACUGAAUCAUGCUUUUGUUAUCUAUUAUCUUAAGUCAUGUUGUAUUGCUUUGUAUGGCAGACAGUAGUGUUGCUAGACAUGUAGCUUUACUGGGGCACAGCCUCCCUUACUCGUAUUGCUUUUUUCCUGAUAUGCUGUAAAUGUGCCUCACAAUGUACGACACACAUUUCCCUCGUUAAGUCCACUAUUCCCACACUACAUGUACUCAGAAGGUAAGCAUAGUAAUCUUUAUAAAAACAUGUCCGUGUUCUUAUGAUGCUUGACUGCAUAAAAGAUUUUGACUAAAUAGCAACUCCUCUUACAUUUGCACUGUUGUACAAUACAGAUGAACUCAAAAAAACAUGUCUCUAAACCAUCUAAACUAUUUUCCUUUCUUUUUCAAAACAUACAGCAUACACACACACACACACAUAACAUAAAUAUGACUUAUGUAACUACAAGUUAAGACCAUAUCCUGUACAUUUGGAAAGUAACUUAACACUUAACCUUUGAGAAAGCAAGAUGGUGAAACCUGUCUUUUUGAGGUCCAGCAAAUUGUAAAGACUGUGUACAUAUGUAUGUUUGUGUAUUACACUGUGUGUGUUUGUACACACACAGUGUAUAUACAUAGAUACAUGUGCUGACAUUUGAAACUGACGCGGGUGCAUAUUCGGGAUACAGAGGUGCACAUCGUCUUGUGUUUUUGUCUUUAGUGUGUUGCUUUCAUGUGCAUGGAUUGGUUUACCAACUACCUUGCAUUUAGUCCGGUUUCUUUUUUUGCAGAUUAUAUAUAUGAUAUACAUUUACAAAUAGGCAAUUGAGAAUUUAUUGACUGGGGCACAGCUGAUUUAUACUAAGGCACAUGCCCUGGUAAAAGAGCACCUUUAGCACCUAUACUUAGAAUUUGGAGUUUUAGUACAUAACUCAUGUUGGUAAACAGUAGAAUGCAGAGAUUACUCAUUUUGCACUGUUAAAAUUAUCAAGUGUCAGUGAUUAAUGUGUUAAUUGAACUUGUGGCUGAAUUUACUGUUGACGUUGCACCAGAAAUUGUUUUGACGGAACCGAUAAACAUCCAUGACUGCUGAAGUGUUGUUUGACCUGGAUGUGAAUGCUAAACAUUCCCAUUGUCAGACAAAAACAGAUGGUAUUACUGUGUGAAUAGUGUUAUAAUCUAAUAUAAUGUUAUUUUAAAAUAAUGCGCUGUUUGUUAAUGCAGUAGUUUCUGUUUAAUAGUGCCAAAUUCUGUUAAACAAGCAGAGAACCCAAUAAGUUAGCAUGCUUUCCUUGCAGCAACUGCUGAUCAUCAUAUAAUGAUCUGUUUCUCCUCAGACUGUAUAAGUACUUCUAUGCUUAAUCAGCAUUCUGUUUAUAAAAUGGCACAGGGCAUGAUCAAAUGCUGAACACAGGUGAACACAAAAUGUGCUUUUCUGUAUGCACCCAUAUGUGCAUCAACAACAUGUGGCCAUAUGAGAGCUACAUAUUAUUUGCACAUGCGCGUACAUUGGCUUAGCCCUCCUCACUUAUUGCAGCGAUGCCUACCCCACCCCCCUCGCUACAUCGUGCCAGCCUCUCAUAACACGUAGACACACACACACACACACACACACACACACACACACACUGCAGGAGUGUGCUUACACACUGCCUCAAUCUACUCUUUCUCAUUUCUCCUGAUAAAAAUGUCAUGCCCUAAGGCCCAAAGACAUCUCUUUAAUGAUUGUUGUUUACUCAUGGUGAUGAUAGUAAUGAAUAUAAUUAACUUAAAGUGAUGUAGUAAUUCACAUUAGAGGGAAAAAAACAUCAAGACCAAUGACACCCAUUGUCCUUUGAAAUGAGAUGUUUCACAAAAGCGGCUUUUAAAAGAAACUGACAGUGUUUUCUUCCAGAAUCUGGGUUAUUCCAUACAUUUCACACUGAUUUCCUUUUCAUUUAUAAUUGAAGGGAGUCUUAUACUGUACAUUCUCCUUGUCGUAUUCGAUAUCACACUCAGCACUAUCAGUGCUGCUGUUUGAACUCUGUUCUCUCUGGAGCUUGUGUUUUUUUCCCCCCUUUUCUUUUCUUAUUCAGUGUUAUCUGUUCUUUUUAGUCAGGCUUGUUAUUUUUAGAUGAAACAUAAUAGCCAGGAUCUUCAGUGUACUGUGAGAGUUUCACACCCUUUCCUAGUGUUUAAUCCAUGUGACAUCUCCUCUGUGCCUACUGGUUCUUUUGAGUUUCAGCUCACAAGUCCUACUAUAUAAAUAAAGAUGAUGAGAAUAUUACA
rnacentral:lncRNA from 1 species